CCUACGGGGGGCAGCAGUGAGGAAUAUUGGUCAAUGGACGAGAGUCUGAACCAGCCAAGUAGCGUGAAGGAUGACUGCCCUAUGGGUUGUAAACUUCUUUUAUAAAGGAAUAAAACGAGGCACGUGUGCCUUUUUGCAUGUACUUUAUGAAUAAGGAUCGGCUAACUCCGUGCCAGCAGCCGCGGUAAUACGGAGGAUCCGAGCGUUAUCCGGAUUUAUUGGGUUUAAAGGGAGCGUAGAUGGGUUGUUAAGUCAGUUGUGAAAGUUUGCGGCUCAACCGUAAAAUUGCAAUUGAUACUGGCAGCCUUGAGUACAGUUGAGGUAGGCGGAAUUCGUGGUGUAGCGGUGAAAUGCUUAGAUAUCACGAAGAACUCCGAUUGCGAAGGCGACUUACUGGACUGUAACUGACGCUGAGGCACGAAAGCGUGGGGAGCAAACAGGAUUAGAUACCCGAGUAGUC
rnacentral:rRNA from 1 species